CUAAAACUGCUGGCCUUCCCGGACAUUACGGUGCCUAGGAUCUUGCAGCGCCCAACGUAGGCUCACACCCACUGAUCGGAUAUUCCCUACGUCUUUGGCGUGAAAAAUCCCUACCGGCCUCCCCGAAAGAUCCUCCAACUCGUAGGCGUUAUUCCCUACUGGACGUACGACUCUGCAUUUUAGGAAUUUCCGGGCGAACUUGGCGUUGUAGCUUUUGCCAAAGUCGCUGAGGGUGAAGUUGCGCCUGUAGACUUCUUGGCCAGGUCUGGCGAAAAAGACUCGGGCCCGUUUGUUGUAUCGCUGGCUGCUCCGCUCAUACGCUUGGUGUAGGCUGCGUUUAAUUUGCUCGCGAAUGAGGUGUCGCUUAUCCGCGGGAUCUAAUGCGUGCACUUCAUGUUCCGUCAAUGACUGCAGCUUCCUCGCCAGCUUAUAGCAGUUCCCAUUCAGAAACAUCUGUUGUCCAAAUACAGCGAAAAACGGCGUUACGCCUGUGGCUUCGUGCACCGAGUCACGGAUUGAAACUUCGAUCUCCGGUAGGUAGAUGUCCCAGUCUCUGUGAUCCUUUUCCAAAUACGUCCUUAUUGCAGCGAGUAUCGUCCGAUUUACUCGGCUGCAUUGCUUUGCGGCGAGUAGACUGCUGUGCGCAUGUGUCGGAUCCCGAAGCCGCUGACCAUGUCCAUGAACGCCUUCGAUAGGAACUGCUUUCCGUUGUCGGAGUGGAUCACCUCUGGCACCCCGAAUUUGUAGAAUACCUCUUGCACCAGGAAUUGAACGACGUUCGCAGCGGUCGCCUCUCUCAUCGCCUUCAAGAAGCUUGGAAGAAAAGAAUGCCACUGGGCGCUCUGCUUUGUCAUCAUCCAGCUGAAAAAGCACUGCUCCCACUCCAAAAUUUGAGGCGUCGCACUGGAUGUAGAAAUGGCGUUUAAAGUCGGCAUGG